UACGAAGGGGGCUAGCGUUGCUCGGAAUCACUGGGCGUAAAGGGUGCGUAGGCGGGUUUUUAAGUCAGGGGUGAAAUCCUGGAGCUCAACUCCAGAACUGCCUUUGAUACUGAAGAUCUUGAGUCCGGGAGAGGUGAGUGUAACUGCGAGUGUAGAGGUGAAAUUCGUAGAUAUUCGCAAGAACACCAGUGGCGAAGGCGGCUCACUGGCCCGGUACUGACGCUGAGGCACGAAGGUCAGGGGAGCAAACGGG
rnacentral:rRNA from 1 species